UUGGUUCUCCCGCAACACUAACCUGUGGACUCGGUCAGGUCCGGAAGGAAGCAGCCGCAGCAGGCGACGUGUGUGCCGGGAUGUAGCUG
rnacentral:SRP_RNA from 1 species